CUCUUGCUUUUCCCCACCAAGGGUCACCACAAGGCCUCCCAGAGGCGAGGGGACCUAGCGUGGGGCUGCUGCGACCUAGCCAGGUGCCCAGUCAGUUCCAGAGGAAAUCCAGAUAGUUUGUAAGUGAUGGUCCCCAAUGGAGGGUGGAGCUGCUCUGGAGCUGUGUCAGGACUACAUAGUGGAGGAGGCCGCUGUCUACAGGAGUUUUUCCACAUUUGUUUCAGCAAAUGGGAGAUGUGCAGUAAAUGACAGCACAGGGUCAUGUGAAAAAGGAUGAGCUUUUGGUUAAAACAGCUGAGCUCUGCCUUAGGAGUGGAUUCAAUCCCUCCUUUGCCGCAUAGUUCUUGUAUGAUGCUGGAUUAAGUCAGUUAAACCACACUUCUUGCAGGUGGCCACAAAUUUCAUGCUCCUAGUUUCUGGGUAUCUGAAUUGACAUUUUGUGGUCUAAUUUGCAGAAGUGCUGAAUGAUCCCAGAUGAAACUGAAUUCAAUGGGUGCUAGACAUAUAAAGUGCUCUGAAUGAAAAACGUAUCAACUACUUGAAAUAUUAACUGUCUCAAACCGAGUAACCAGAAUCUACAAAACCUUAAACUACAGACAAUUCCAACCCAAGCCCAUCACAAAACCAUUGCACCCAAGAGGUAACAAAAUGUAUUUAUGUGAUGAUUCUUUUCUAUGGAAAGGGGAGAAAGAGGCAUUUCUGCUGUUCAGCCUGAUACUCCAGGAGGUCUCCUGCCCACCAAAAACCCAAAUCCACAUGGUGUGCUAAGGUUGCUGUGACUCACCUGGCCCUCUCACAGAGCCCCUCUAGUGCUCCUUUGCAUGUGUGUUAAUGGUUCUGGCAGGUCGGACCAUGAACAAGUCAAAUACAGCUGCAUGGUGGUGGGAGUGACAGUGGAGGUGUCAGGAGAUCUGACAGGGUCCAGUUCUUCCAGGCAAAGGCACUGGCUCUGGCACACUAGAAAUUAAUGUGUGGUUGGGAAGGUGGAGUCACCAGGAGGGCUUGUGUGACUUUUCAAGAACUGCUGAGUGCCAGUGGAGCCUAGGGAAAAAAGUGGGAAGAGAGGGGUCAACUGUGUAAGUAAGGCUUUAAACUAGGAGGCAGGCAGGUCAGUGAUACAAGUCCAAAAGUAAUUGUAGCAAAUGAUAGUUUAUGGGGAACACAAGAUGAUGAGGAAACAUCUACAAAUGCAUGAGCAGGUAGAGGAAGACCCUGGAAAGCAAGCUGCAGAGCCACAGCAGGCGCACCAUCAGUUUCUGUGCCCAGCUUACAGGCAGCAACUUGUUUAAAUCUCAGUAAGUGGCUCAUUAGCCCUCCAAUGUGACCAUACACUACAGCAAACUAAGGACAAGAAUAAAAGCAUAAAAGGAGCCUGUAAGAAUAAAAUCAGAAAGGCCAAGGCAAAAAAAGUCAAUAUAAUUAGCAAAGGAAAGAGAGGGUAACAAGAAAGCACUUCUAUGCUUUAGAAGUUAGAGAAAGACAAUGGCAAAAAAAAUUAUCUACCCUUUGACAAGGACGGAAAGCUAGUAAGAGGUGACACAGAAAAAGCCAAAGUGAUUAAUGUCUUUUUCCCCUCACUCCUCAGCAAAAAGAAUUAACUAUGAUCAAUUGACUAAUCAUUAAUGUCUAAGGCUAAAUAACAGAAAGAACAGAAUAGACUACUUCAGUAAGUCAGUUAUUUUCCAGCCAACCAGACCAGACAGAAACUAACUGAGAGCAAGUGGGAAUCUGGCUGAAGCAAUCCUAGAGUCAUGAGGAAUCCUUUCCCACAGCACCUGGGGAAUGAAGACCUGUGACAGGGGAUUGCAAUACCUGUUUUUAAAAAAGAAGAAAAGCAGCUUGAGGAAUAUAGGUGGAGAAAACAGCCUAACUUGAAUUGCUGGAAAUAUAUUGAAACAAAUAAUUAAACAAAGUUUUCUUUUGUGUAUGGGAAAUAAUGAAAUGAUAAGUAGGGGCCAAGAAAGAUUUGCCAGGAACAAAUCAUGCUGAACCAAGCUAAUUUCCUUCUCUGACAAGUAGCAGGUCUUAUGGACAAUAGAUAUUGCAUAUCUUGACUUGAACAAGGCUUUCAACACAGCCUCUUGUGAUUUCUUGUAAGCGAGCUAAAACAAAACUAUUGUAAGGUGGACUCACAGCUGCUUAAAAAAAAAUAAUAGAAGAGGAAUUAUCAUCAGUUCAUUGUUGAAGUGUAAGAAUUAUGGAAAGCAGUUCUGCAGAUGCCCUUCCCAGGACUCGUACCACUCACUAUUUUUGUUGUGUUUUGGAAGAUGGCAUAUCAAGUAUGGCUACCAAAUUUGUAGAGAAAGUUCUACAAGCACCUUGGCAGGAUUAGCAUCUUGAUCAUUUGAAGAAAUGGUCUGAAAACAAUAGGAUUCAGUGCAGUAAAAACAGGUGUAAACUAUUACACAUAGAUAAGAAUAAACCCCCAAAUAGAGAGCAGCCAGCAAGGCAAAAGACCUACACAAAAAUGCUUUGGGGAUUUUGGAAGAGUUCAAGCUGACUAAGAAUUAACAACCCCAUACUGGUGUGGAAAAGCAAGUAUUGUGCUGAAAUGUAUAAACUGGCUAGGUGAGAUAUGUGAAAUAAUUUCUCCACUCCUACUCAGCACUGGUGAGGUCUCAAACUGGAAAAUGGACUGAUUCACUUUGGUCACUGAACUCAAGAGAGGAAUGGGCAAUUAGGGAAAGUCCUGAAAGCAACAAAAAGUACUAGAAGUCUUAAAAAAUGACCCUGGGGGGAAAUCUCAAAGAAUUGGAUUUGUUUAAUCUAGAGAAAAGAGGACUGAGAAGAAACACAAUAACAGUCUUCAAAUAUGUUAAAAGGUAGCUGCGCAGUGGAAGGCAGUAGGUAACUCUCAAUGGUUAGAGGGGAGCAGGGAGCUUAAAUAGUAUCUAGAGUUACAGUUUCUGCUAUAUAUAAGGAAAAACUUAAAGCCUUGGUGCCAGUGUAGGUCACUGAGUCUUUAGCACUGAUGGUUUUAAACACAGCUGAAAAAGGCAUCAUUUAGAUAUUGUUGAGUGUGUUCGGGAAAGAGGGUACUACACCCAAGGGCAAGAGCUUGUGAGGCAAGUGUACAUAAUAACUUGCAGACACAUAUUUGAAAGGCAUACGUAGCAUCUGGAGCUGGGACUCAUGGCAUCAUUAGAGUGUCGUCAUUGGAUGAAGUGUCUCUCAGCUCCCAGUAAGUUCUUUCCAGCACAUGUAACCUCAAAGCAGGGAAAAAGAAAUUGGAUCUAAUAUGCAAACUUUGACAGGUUUCUGACCCCUAGAUAAUUUCUUGAGGGCUCUUCCUACAUUAUACAAUUGUAAAUAGACACAGGCUGUGCCAGAAUGGCCAAAUUGCUGCUGCAGUGGUUUCCUGUUACAGGUGAAAAACAAAUAUUAAGCCUUCACUGGCAAUAUAUGGAAAAAAAACCAAAUAAAAAAUCUAGCUAUAUCAUGUGCAUUUCUGGCAAAAGGAGCUUGAAAUCCCAUCACCUGGGAGACAACCAAGAACUAGCAUUUCUCCUUUAUGAAAGGACUGAAAAGUUUUGUCAUGAACCUGAAAGACUGUUUUUGUUGCGUUGCUUUGCAAACAUUUGGGAGGCAACAGUCCUUGUCCUUGUCCUGGGGGCCUGCUCUUCUGAAUAGCCAAGGCAAGAAAAUGGUGUGAGAAGCAGCAAAGGUACAAACAGAGGGAAAUUACAUGCAUCAAGCUGCACAAAAUCGGUAUGACAUGAGUGGGAGUAAAACCCAGGUCUUUCUGGUGCUCACACCAGUACCAUCCAUCUUCUUGCACUGCUGUCAUACUGUAACAGCAUUGGUUUCAACAGUUAAAUUUCCUUUACAAAGAACUCAUGUGAAGGUUGCAUUUUAUGUUGGCAAUGACCACAGACUGUGUACAUUGCUAAGGCAUCUUUCUAGUGCUAUGAAAGUGAUAAUGUAAUUCUAUGCAAUUAAAAUGAUGCCUCCUACAUGCAUAAUGCCUCUCCCUAGCUUUACAGCUGUUCGCCAUGUUCUCUGUGAGGGCAUUUGCUGAUAAUAAAUUGUGUUGUGGAAAUAUAAUAAAUAACAUGAACAAGGAAAUCUAAAGUGAUCCAAUUCUUUAAUCUAGUUUAAGCCUACAUUUUCUCAGAGGAAUCCCUAACCCAGAUUAAUUUAGAGAAGUGAUGAGAUUUGAUCCCAUCAGCCUUAUAAAUCACACAUGCAAAAUGCACGGUAUUACAUUGCUAUUAAUAGUGCUGACAUGUAUAUGUAUGCUCCUAAUCUUGUAAAUAUAUGAGAAAAGCAAAAAAUAAACAAGCAAAUACAAUUCAGUGGAGCCCACCUGUCUCCUGCUUCCUGGGGAAGCCCUGCAUCUUGGCUUCAGAUUAUUCUCUUCUCAAACUCUAGUUUAUUAAAGCAAAGAAUGUUCAGCCAGCCAGCCUUUGUCUCUGCCUCUCUUACGGAGACAAUAACUUCUGCACCAGGUUACCAUAUACCCAGGUUUCCCUAGACAUUUAUUCUUUUUCCAUUCAAAAACUGUGUCUAGGCAGAAAAUGCAGAUUUCGUAUAUUUCCUCCAAAUUUUCAGAUAUCAGACAGUCUGACUUGAAUUGUGACUUUGAGCAUGGCUGAUUGAUAGGUGUCAGACUGUCAUUGACUCACCUAUUGCACCACCUGCAUAUUAGCUCUAUGUUUCAUGCACGGUAAGGCUGAUGCUUCCAAGAAGCGAGAGCUAUUUUGCAUAUGUUGUAGAGUUGAUUAGCACCUGUGCAGGACUUCUGAUGCAACAGGAACAUUUUGGAUUUACUGUGCAUUGGCAGACCAACUAUACCACCUUGCAGAGCAAGUCUAAUGAUUUCAAAAGCCUCAGAUUUGAUGCACAUGUGUUAUCCAGAACAUGCACAAGUAUUUUUGUCUGAGAAAUCCCCAUGAAAAAAAUAGCCCCUGUAGGUCUCUCUGGAGAUAUUAGAAAUACUCAAUAAACAAGAAAUAGCUAAGGCUAAAACCUAACUUACACUAUGCUUUUUCAAAGGUGCAGGGGAAAGAGCAGGUGAGAAUCUGUUGAGAAGAGAGAGGAAUAUUUGGGAGGAACAGUCAGUUUAUGCCAAGUAUGUUUAGCAGGUGAGGAGGCAAAUCUACCCCUCCUCAGGCUGCCUGCCUGGCAAGUAAGCUAGCUGUGACAUGCUUUACUCCCACUUUGAGAAGUGUUAUAUAUCCCACAUCAUUCAUUCCACAAGAUUAAGGAAUUCUCUCUUGGCAUGACAUAAAGAGUAUUCAUCAGGCACCUUCUCUGUUUCCCUCUCAUGCUGCCAUCCAGAGAAAGAUUGUUGUGGAGAAAAAAGACCUUGCUAUUAGUCUUGGUUUCUUUAUUAUGAAGUGACAGUUUAUAAUUGUCCAUAACAAACAAGACCCCAUAUUUUUCCCAGUAUUAACUUCAGUGAACAGAGCUCACUGGAGUCAUACUACAAAGGAAUUUAGUCCUAGCAACAUUAUAUUAAGAAAGCUAUUCAGUGCGACGUGAAUAAUUUCAGUUAGAGAAUUUUAAAUCUUUUGGAUGAUACAGUUAUUCAUGCACAUGCAACCUGCCAUAGAUGCCUAUCUGGUUACAACCGGGAGCUUCAGGUUCAGUUUUUACAGAUGACUAAUGCAGUUGUUACUCAAUUCCUACAAUUAACAUUUGUGCAAGUGUACUAUCCUUUACAAAGGUCAGGCUGCUUACAGGUGUUCAAUGUUACUGGUAUCUACCUGGGAAAUGAGAUCACCUGGGAAUUAUGUAGGUUUUAAGAAUUUAGUAGUAACAGUUUUUCUAAAACUAUUAUGAAAUUUCUGGUAAUUUGUAUUUCUGUCGGGAUGCGAAUUCAGUAGCAAAAUGCCUUUUUGAUAGCGCUUCAAAACCCCGCACAACAACAAGACUUCCAAACUGAAAGUAAAAGCCAGAACAUUUGUCUGAACUCCUCCAAGAACUGGAAGAUUUGGGGGAUUGGAAUAAAAUUAUAAAUUCAUGUCUAAGUCUCCCUUUAUUUUUCACAAGAGAAAAACCCAAGUCUUGGAAAAGUUAUGAGACAGCCUGAUACACACUGCACUGGAAUGACUUUUGAGAAUCACUUGACUCUUCCCUUCUCAACAAAUGGAGUCAGUUGUGUCACAGAAAAAUGAUAGAUAGCUUAUAGAAGGUUAGCAGCUGGCUAAGGAAGCGUUGAACAGCUCAGCCUGAAAUCAAGCAGGACCAACACAGUCACGAUGGGACAGGAAAAACACUGUAAGAGGCUAGCAAGCACACCACCUUCUGCUACUGUUUAAAGCACUGCCCCUUCAUUUAGCAAGGAAGUAUGAAAGAAUCACUCCAGAUUCUGCAAGUUGCAAGAAAUGCUUUCUCCAAGCUUCAGUUCAGAAACCAUUCCACUUCCUUCUGAUGAACAUACAAACAUUUUGGCUUGCCUACUUACCUCUCAUCAUUAGAAUAAUCUCACAUAGCACAAUCAAGAGCAGAGAGUGGGGCUGCGUCCUUGUCCAUCUUUGAUGUUUCUGCACUUCUCAAGUCACACAAGAAAAAGCAUAACUUUGCUGAAAACACUUAGUUGAAAAUCAUCUGUAACAUGAAGGUAUUUCUGGGUACAAAACUGGUGUUUGGUCCAAAGAUCUUGCAGUUGUAGGUGCCUAAUAAAAUGUGCAGACCACAGAGAUGCAAUCUGGUGAUAGACUGGGAUCAUCCAUGACCUUAAAGAACUAAGACUCCCGACAGGUUGUUAAACCACUCACUCUUCCCUUCUCCUCCUCCUUGCAGAUUCAGCUCUGCCAAGACAACUCACCCAGAUCUUACAAAACCAAAAUU